UCAGGCUUUGGAAUGAGAAUAAUAGACGAUAGCGCCGUUGGCCUAGCGCUGACCGUGUGCCGGAGUCACACAUUAUCUCACUGAUUCUGUCUAACCCUUUUACAGAUGAGAAACCUGAAGCUCAGACAGCCUAAGAAACCUGUCCAAGGACCCAAUGCUAGAAGAGAGCACCCCAGUACUUCCAAUCUCAUUCACCGAUCUUAACCUAUUAUAUCAUGAAUUUUGCCUAAUCCUAAUGAUGCCCCGCAUUGAAACACUGGCCUUAUGCCAGUCCCCCAGAUCCUCAUCAAGAUCUUGCUUUUCACCUCCUCCUUCCUUGACUCUAAGAUUGUGAGGUAGUGAUCUUUACCGCAGUGAACAAAUACGCUUGAGUUUAAUAAGUUUUUUUAAUGAUAUUUUCAGGGAACCACUAUUUGACACCAGAAAUAGGAGGCUUUAAUUUCCUUUCCUCAGGGGAAAAAAAAAAAGGAAAGGAAAAGGAAGAGAUGUGAAAAGGGAAGGGACAGGGAAAAGAAAAGGGAAGGAAGAGGGUAAUGGCAGAAAAGGAAAGAAAAAACUCAUUUCACCUAUCAAGCUUAACUUCAGGUGUGGCCUCUACCUGACGGCUCUUGCUAUCUGUGGAAACAGGCUCACCUUACAAGGCAUUUCUAAAUAUCACAAGAAAGUGGGAUAUGGCAGAAAAUCAAUCACCUAUGUGGGUUUCAGAUUAGGAUUCUCAUCCUGGCUCUGCCAAAAUGUUCACAGCAUGAAUUACAGGCUCCAAUGAAUGGGCAUAUCACCUGCCAACCUGAAUGUAAGAUUCAAACAAGACAAUGGGAGUGAAAACCCAUUAAGAGUUACACUCCUGGAAGUCUGGGAAGAGCAGGCAAAGUGUUGUAAAUCAUAAAAGGGCAAGCAGUGUCUGAAUUUUCAUAAGACAGAAGAUGAAGUUAAAAAAUACAGGAAUACCAGGUAGGAGGAUGCCGCAAGACAGAGCAAAUGCAGAUUUCAACAGGGCAUUUGACAAUUCACAUCAUAGACAAGCAAGUGAAAUGUAGGCUGGACGAUAGCAUUGAGGCUUGUUAAAGACCAGGCCCAGAGGGGGCUGACGAGCAGGGACCACAAGAGGAGGCUGCGAGGGGCCUGCUCUAAUCUCCCACCCUGGCCCAGCCAAUUCAGGGUGCCAGUAGUGACUUGGUGAGAAUGCAACAGCACACUCAUAGAAGUGUGGAUGACCUGAAGCAGAAAGAGAUGCCCAAUAUUCUGGAUGACAAACUGAGUACAGACUAAAUCUAACAAGAUGAAAUUUAACAGGGACUACUAAAGUCCUAUAUAGUGGGGUUUAAAAUAAAUGCACAAGAACAAGAUAGGAAUGAAUAAAAAUUAUAAUCUGUAAGUCUUAACUAUAUUAACUAUAAUCAGUUGGUCAUGUAGAAUGCCAAGAAGCAUCUAAGCAGUGUUUGAUUUUUCUAUUACAUAACAUAACUUCCAAUCAAUAAAAGAACUGUUACCUAAGACCCA
rnacentral:lncRNA from 1 species